CCUACGGGCGGCAGCAGUGAGGAAUAUUGGUCAAUGGGCGGGAGCCUGAACCAGCCAAGCCGCGUGAAGGAAGAAGGCGCCAAGCGUCGUAAACUUCUUUUGUCGGGGAACAAAGGGCGCCACGUGUGGCGUUGUGAGUGUACCCGAAGAAAAAGCAUCGGCUAACUCCGUGCCAGCAGCCGCGGUAAUACGGAGGAUGCGAGCGUUAUCCGGAUUUAUUGGGUUUAAAGGGUGCGUAGGCGGUCCGGAAAGUCAGCGGUAAAAGCCCGGGGCUCAACCCCGGCGAGCAGUUGAAACUGGCAGUCUUGAGUACAGUAGAGGUGGGCGGAAUUCGUGGUGUAGCGGUGAAAUGCUUAGAUAUCACGAAGAACUCCGAUUGCGAAGGCAGCUCACUGGACUGCAACUGACACUGAUGCUCGAAAGUGUGGGUAUCAAACAGGAUUAGAUACCCCGGUAGUC
rnacentral:rRNA from 1 species